CAAUAACCAUUCAAGCCACAGGAGCAAGUUCACUUUUACUAAACACGGGAGCUCUGUACCUAUCUGUUGGUGGCAUGCUAAUGUCUGUAAUUUCCUUGUUGGGUUACUGUUCUUGCGUUUACUGGAGAAACUUGGUCCACAACUGCUUUACUCAAUGUUUGCUACAUUCUGCAUGAUGGCAGUAAUCUUUGUAAAAAGAAAUGUGGUGGAAACCAAAGGGAAAUCACUUCAAGAAAUUGAGAUAGCACUUCUUCCCCAAGACUAGAGCUUCUUACAAAAACCCAUUCACUGCAGUAAUUUUGCAUAAUUUGGGGGCUAUCAUAGUGUCGGCUAUGAGCAUAUUAUGAACAAAUGUUAACAAUGAUUGUUCAAUCCAUUUCCGAAAAAUGCAGCAAUUUCAUAAGUUUUAAGA